UACGUUCCCGGGCCUUGUACACACCGCCCGUCACACCACGGAAGCCGGUAACACCCAAAGCCGGUGGCCUAACCCGCAAGGGAGGGAGCCGUCGAAGGUGGGAUUGGUGACUGGGGUG
rnacentral:rRNA from 1 species